AUUGAACGCUGGCGGAAUGCUUUACACAUGCAAGUCGAACGAUGAACCUUAGCUUGCUAAGGGGAUUAGUGGCGAACGGGUGAGUAAUAUAUCGGAACGUGCCUUGUAAUGGGGGAUAACUAGUCGAAAGAUUAGCUAAUACCGCAUACGCCCUGAGGGGGAAAGUAGGGGAUCUUCGGACCUUACGUUAUAAGAGCGGCCGAUAUCUGAUUAGCUAGUUGGUGGGGUAAUGGCCUACCAAGGCGACGAUCAGUAGCUGGUCUGAGAGGACGACCGGCCACACUGGAACUGAGACACGGUCCAGACUCCUACGGGAGGCAGCAGUGGGGAAUUUUGGACAAUGGGCGCAAGCCUGAUCCAGCCAUUCCGCGUGAGUGAAGAAGGCCUUCGGGUUGUAAAGCUCUUUCGCAAGGGAAGAAAACUUACCAUCGAAUAAAUGGUGAGGCUGACGGUACCUUGAUAAGAAGCACCGGCUAACUACGUG
rnacentral:rRNA from 1 species